rnacentral:rRNA from 1 species
GUAAAAUCCUGUAAUCCCGGAAGGACGACCAGUGGCGAAAGCGUUUAACUAGAACGAAUCUGACGGUAAGGAACGAAGGCUAGGGUAGCAAACCGGAUUAGAUACCCGGGUAGUCCUAGCUGUAAACAUUGCCCAUUUGAUGUUGCUUUUCCGUUGAGGAAAGGCAGUGUCGGAGCGAAGGUGUUAAAUGGGCCGCUUGGGAAGUAUGGUCGCAAGACUGAAACUUAAAGGAAUUGGCGGGGGAGCACCGCAACGGGAGGAAUGUGCGGUUUAAUUGGAUUCAACGCCGGAAAACUCACCGGGAACGACCUGUGCAUGAGAGUCAACCUGACGAGCUUACUCGAUAGCAGGAGAGGUGGUGCAUGGCCGUCGUCAGCUCGUACCGUAGGGCGUUCACUUAAGUGUGAUAACGAGCGAGACCCACAUCUUUAAUUGCAAAUGUAUAUGAGAAUAUGCAUGCACUUUAGAGAAACCGCCAGCGCUAAGCUGGAGGAAGGAGUGGUCGACGGCAGGUCAGUACGCCCCGAAUUUCCCGGGCUACACGCGCAUUACAAAGAACGGGACAAUACGUUGCAACCUCGAAAGAGGAAGCUAAUCGCGAAACCCGUCCAUAGUUAGGAUUGAGGGCUGUAACUCGCCCUCAUGAAUCUGGAUUCCGUAGUAAUCGCGGGUCAACAACCCGCGGUGACAUGCCCUGCUCCUUGCACUCACCGCCCGUC